rnacentral:rRNA from 1 species
CCUGCCUGACUGACCGGGACAACACUUGGAAACGGGUGCUAAUACCGGAUACGCUCAUUGAUACGCAUGUAUUAAUGAGGAAAGGGGAAACUCGCAGACAGAUGGGUCCGCGUCCCAUUAGCUAGUUGGAGGUGUAAUGGACCCCCAAGGCGACGAUGGGUAGCCGGCCUGAGAGGGUGAACGGCCACACUGGAACUGAGACACGGUCCAGACUCCUACGGGAGGCAGCAGUGGGGAAUCUUCCGCAAUGGGCGAAAGCCUGACGGAGCAACGCCGCGUGAGUGAAGAAUGCCUUCGGGUUGUAAAACUCUGUCUUCAGGGAAGAAACAAAUGACGGUACCUGAGGAGGAAGCCCUGGCUAACUACGUGCCAGCAGCCGCGGUAAAACGUAGGGGGCGAGCGUUGUCCGGAAUUACUGGGCGUAAAGGGCGCGUAGGCGGUUAUCCAAGUCAGGGGUGAAAACUCUGGGCUCAACUCAGAGCCUGCCUCUGAAACUGGGUGACUUGAGGGCAGGAAAGGGGAGUGGAAUUCCCCAGUGUACCGGUGAAAUGCUUAGAUAUUGGGAGGAACACCAUUGGCGAAGGCGGCUCUCUG